rnacentral:tRNA from 1 species
GUUGGGGGUAGCUCAAGGGUACAGAGUUUGCCUAGCAUGCAUGAGGCCUUGGGUUCAAUCUCCAGCUCCACA